CUCUCCGGGGAGGAAGGGCGGGGCCCAGGUGGAGCCGUGGGGACGGGCCAGGAGUGGGCGGGGCAGAGCCAGAGGGGGCGGGGCGGGGCCUACUCGAGAGGGGACGGGUCUUGCCCGCGGGCUCCGCGGCGGAUCCAGCCCCGACCGCGCAGAGCCCAGGCCUGACCCGCACUCUGUCUUGCGUUGGACUCGUCCUGGGCUCAGCGGGUCGGCGUCCUCACUGACUGCUGCACAGACGUGCAGGAAAAUCUUCCCGAGUGGAGAUGCGCCGUCCGGCAAAGCACAGCGCUUUUAGUCGGUGCCGAAAACACUCAGAGCAGCCGCCGCCAUCGUACGGGAUGGCUAGAUUUUCCCAAAUCCUGCUGGUCCCGGCAGCCCGGAAACUGCGGGAAGCCUUGAAUGCAGCUAGUCGUGAGAAUGGCAAAGAUACUGGGAAAAGCUCGAGAAAGGACAGUUACCUGGACUGAGUUAAGGGGUUGUCACGUAUGUUGGUCGCUUCUCCCUUAUUGAUGAGCACUGUUCUGCUGUGUGGACGCACCACUGUUUAUCCCUUCACACGUGUUGAUAUUCUUUGGGACUGUUUUCACUUUGGGGAUAUUGCAGCGAAGCUGCUGUGAACUCAUGUGCGAGUCAGUCUCUAUGCACACAUGCUUCCAUUUCUUGUAGUUAAAUGUCUAGGAGUAGUAUGGCUGUAUCCUUUAUAACUUUUUAAGAACCUGACAAGCUGUUUCCACAGUGACUGUACCUUGUAAUUGUAUCCAUCAGCCGCACAAGAGCUUUUUCUGGCACCGCUACAUCCUCAUCAAACAGCAAGGACCAUAUCAACUAUUGGGUGUAGUCAGUCUUUUUCACUUUAGCCAAUCUAAGGGGUACCUCAGUGUGGCUUAAUUUGCAUUUCCUUAAUUAUUAAUGAGCUUCAAUUCAUCAUUCACACCGUAUACAAAAGCGAACUCAGAAUGGUUCAUAGACCUAAACAUACAACCUAAAACUGUAAAACUUCUAGAGGAAAACAUAGGGGGAAACCUCUGUGACUUUUAAUUAGACAAAGAUUUCAUAAUAAAACACCAGAAGCCGUUAACAACAAGGACCUACUGUGUAACACAGGGAACUAUAUUCAAUAACGGAAAAGAAUCUUAAAAAGAAUAGGUAGGUAUAUAUAACACCUGAAACUCACACAACAUUGUAAAUCAACUAUGCUUCAAUUAAACAACAACAGUAAAACACCGACACCAAAAGCAGGAUCCAUAAAAGAGUAAACCGAUGACCGGGUCUGACGAUGACGCCCACACAUCACCUCCAAUAUCCUCUAAUGCUUUGUCCCCUCAGAAGACAAAAUGCCGUUUUUAAAACAGAGGGUUUCUCUGUAAACAAUCUUGAAGAACUGUCUGGGGAAACCAAGGCAGAGGCGAACACCUGUUGCGGCACCGUGGCCGCUCACGCCCGCCCAGCACAAGUGCAGGUGUGCUCCUGCCUGCGGCUCCAGGGCAGCCGGGGAAGCCACGUGACCCGCAGACACGCCUCAGGCCCUGCACGCCCCCUAACAUCAGCUGCCCCUCAGACACCGCCCCGCAGCCCCCAGAUGGCAUCCUCUCCUUUACCCCGAAGACUGUUCUCCUCAAGCCCUAACCCCGCCCGAGCCCAAGUUCAGCAGGUGACCCUCCUUCUGGCUUUGCCAGGCAAACGGGGGGCAGGCUCAGUUUCCCCACCGCUUUGUCCCUCCAGCAAGCCCCUUCCCUCUUCUCCCCCUCCCUCAUCGAGAGGCGCCCCCUCCUCUGCUUGGAGGUUGGUCCCUCCCCUGUGCCCUGACCCCCUCCACGUCCUCGGGAACCAACUCCAUCAACCAUGGUGACGCCUCCAAAAACUCCGCCUUGGACUCUGAGCUGUGCCGCCCAGAUCCCCUUCCGGAAGGGACUGGUUGUCCCAGCUGAUGGAAAUGCCAUUUGCAGGCGCCGUGACCGCCUUCAGAGUCUGCGCAGCCUUCCAAGGCCCCCCCCCCACCCAGUGGCGGAUGGAGGCAGCUGGGUGAAGGCCCGGCCCUCUCAGCCCGAGGCAGGCCAAUUGUGAUGGGCUGUUUUGGCUCAGCAGAAACCAAACUGACUGGUUUGGUGGGUCCCAGGUGCCCACGGGCUCAGCAAGGGUCUAACAGAGGGCACCACAAGGGUACCAGUCACCUCACCUCAGAAGCCAGGGCUGGGUGUGGUCAGGAGGCUGAGUGCCGUCACCCCAAUAACAUCUUGCUCAACUUCAAUUGCCUGGAACCCCAUAACUAAACACAUGGCCGGCUCCCCUGCAGCACACGGCCGCCCAGUCAGCACCUCCUAA